UUCCUACGGGGGGCUGCAGUAGGGAAUAUUGGUCAAUGGGUGGAAGCCUGAACCAGCCAUGCCGCGUGCAGGAAGACGGCCUUCUGGGUUGUAAACUGCUUUUAUCUGGGGAUAAAAUUCCCUUGCGAGGGAGACUGAAGGUACCAGAUGAAUAAGCCACGGCUAACUACGUGCCAGCAGCCGCGGUAAUACGUAGGUGGCAAGCGUUGUCCGGAUUCAUUGGGUUUAAAGGGUGCGUAGGCGGCCAUUUAAGUCAGUGCUGAAAUAUCACAGCUGAACUGUGAGGGUGGCAUUGAUACUGGGUGGCUUGAGUGCUAGCGAGGCAGGCGGAAUUGACGGUGUAGCGGUGAAAUGCUUAGAUAUCGUCAAGAACACCGAUAGUGUAGACAGCUUGCCAGGGAGCAACUGACGCUGAGGCACGAAAGUGUGGGGAUCAAACAGGAUUAGAUACCCCGGUAGUCGGA
rnacentral:rRNA from 1 species